AUUGAACGCUGGCGGCAGGCCUAACACAUGCAAGUCGAGCGGAUGAGUGGAGCUUGCUCCAUGAUUCAGCGGCGGACGGGUGAGUAAUGCCUAGGAAUCUGCCUGGUAGUGGGGGACAACGUUUCGAAAGGAACGCUAAUACCGCAUACGUCCUACGGGAGAAAGCAGGGGACCUUCGGGCCUUGCGCUAUCAGAUGAGCCUAGGUCGGAUUAGCUAGUAGGUGAGGUAAUGGCUCACCUAGGCGACGAUCCGUAACUGGUCUGAGAGGAUGAUCAGUCACACUGGAACCGAGACCCGGUCCAGACUCCUACGGGAGGCAGCAGUGGGGAAUAUUGGACAAUGGGCGAAAGCCUGAUCCAGCCAUGCCGCGUGUGUGAAGAAGGUCUUCGGAUUGUAAAGCACUUUAAGUUGGGAGGAAGGGCAGUAAGUUAAUACCUUGCUGUUUUGACGUUACCAACAGAAUAAGCACCGGCUAACUUCGUGCCAGCCGCCGCGGUAAGAC
rnacentral:rRNA from 1 species